rnacentral:rRNA from 1 species
GACGAACGCUGGCGGCGUGCUUAACACAUGCAAGUCGAACGGAAAGGCCCUGCUUUUGUGGGGUGCUCGAGUGGCGAACGGGUGAGUAACACGUGAGUAACCUGCCCUUGACUUUGGGAUAACUUCAGGAAACUGGGGCUAAUACCGGAUCGGAUCUCCUGCUGCAUGGUGGGGGUUGGAAAGUUUCGGCGGUUGGGGAUGGACUCGCGGCUUAUCGGCUUGUUGGUGGGGUAGUGGCUUACCAAGGCUGUGACGGGUAGCCGGCCUGAGAGGGUGACCGGCCACAUUGGGACUGAGAUACGGCCCAGACUCCUACGGGAGGCAGCAGUGGGGAAUAUUGCACAAUGGGCGGAAGCCUGAUGCAGCAACGCCGCGUGCGGGAUGACGGCCUUCGGGUUGUAAACCGCUUUCGCCUGUGACGAAGCGUGAGUGACGGUAAUGGGUAAAGAAGCAACGGCUAACUACGUG